GUGCUUUGGCAGCACAUUUACUAAAAUUGGAACAAUGUAUAGAAGAUUAAUAUGGCUCCUGUGCAAGUAUGAUAUGAAAAUUCAUGAAGCAUUCUAUAUUAUA